GACGUAGGGGGCCAGCGUUGCUCGGAAUUACUGGGUGUAAGGGGGUCGUAGGCGGUGUGGCAAGUCGGGAGUGAAAUCUCUGGGCUCAACCCAGAGUCUGCCUCCGAAACUGCUGUGCUUGAGUGUGGGAGAGGCGCGUGGAAUUCCAGGUGUAGCGGUGAAAUGCGUAGAUAUCUGGAGGAAUACCGGUGGCGAAGGCGGCAUCCUGGACCGACAUUGACGCUGAUGAGCGAAAGCUAGGGGAGCAAACGGG
rnacentral:rRNA from 1 species